AGAGUGGUCAGGCAGGUGGGCUCAGAGUCAGGACAGGCAAGGGUCAAAACCAGGAGGGCAAGAAAAGAGAGACUGGAAACAGCAGAAGCUGAGACACAAAACGCUGGUUGACUUAAACAAACAAGAUGAACUGGCAACAGACAGAGAACACAGGUAUAAACACACAGGGAAUAAUGGGGAAGAUGGGCGACACCUGGAGGAGGGUGGAGACAAUCACAAAGACAGCAGGCAAGAGGCGAAGCUGGAGGUGAGAUCUUUGCCAGAUCCCCAAUGAUGGCCAUAGCAGCAUAGACCAGCUCUUGGCCCCUCAUUAAAGGAUCUCUUACGUUCUUCCAAAGAUCUCCUGCGGGGAUAGGCUGCUGUGGUGAUGCCAAUCUACCAUGGCCUGAUGAUGAUGUCUACCUGAGACUCCAAGCCAAACUCUACGGAGUCCAUCCCCUGGAUCUUUCACCUGCAGCCCUUGGCUUCAUCCCGUCCAUUCUCACAUCCAUUCCAUUUCCUCAAUAAAUAUUCU
rnacentral:lncRNA from 1 species